AGAGUUUGAUCCUGGCUCAGAACGAACGCUGGCGGCGUGGAUAAGACAUGCAAGUCGAACGGGACUUUUUCUGGUAGCAAUACCGGGAAAAGUUUAGUGGCGAACGGGUGCGUAACACGUGGGCAAUCUGCCAUGAAGUGGGGGAUAGCUCGGCGAAAGCCGAAUUAAUACCGCAUGUGAUCAGUGAAGACAUCUUCACGACAUUAAAGCCGGGGCAACCUGGCGCUUCUUGAUGAGCCCGCGGCCUAUCAGCUAGUUGGUGAGGUAACGGCUCACCAAGGCGGUGACGGGUAGCUGGUCUGAGAGGACGACCAGCCACACUGGAACUGAGACACGGUCCAGACACCUACGGGUGGCAGCAGUCGAGAAUUUUUCUCAAUGGGGGAAACCCUGAAGGAGCGACGCCGCGCGGAGGAUGAAGGCUUUCGGGUUGUAAACUCCUGUCAUUUGGGAACAAUGUUCCGCUAUUAACUGUAGCAGGAUGAUAGACCAGAAGAGAAGGACA
rnacentral:rRNA from 1 species